AGUGAACGCUGGCGGUAGGCCUAACACAUGCAAGUCGAACGAGUGGCGGACGGGUGAGGAAUACAUUGGCAUCUACUCUGUCGAGGGGGAUAACGGGGGGAACCUUACGCUAAUACCGCAUACGAUUGAAUGAGCCGAUGUCGGAUUAGCUAGUGGGCGGGGUAAAGGCCCACCAAGGCGACGAUGCGUAGCUGGUCUGAGAGGAUGAUCAGCCACACUGGAACUGAGACACGGUCCAGACUCCUACGGGAGGCAGCAGUGGGGAAUAUUGGACAAUGGGCGCAAGCCUGAUCCAGCCAUACCGCGUGGGUGAAGAAGGCCUUCGGGUUGUAAAGCCCUUUUGUUGGGAAAGCGGUACCCAAAGAAUAAGCAACGGCUAACUUCGUGCCAGCCGCCGCGGUAAUUC
rnacentral:rRNA from 1 species